UACGGAGGGUGCAAGCGUUGUUCGGAUUUACUGGGCGUAAAGCGCGCGCAGGUGGAUGGACAAGUCGGAAGUGAAAUCUUGAGGCUCAACCUCGAGGCUGCUCCCGAAACUGUUCGUCUAGGGACUGGUAGAGGCUGGUAGAAUUCCUGGUGUAGCGGUGGAAUGCGCAGAUAUCAGGAGGAACACCGGUGGCGAAGGCGGGUCUCUGGGCCGUUACUGACGCUGAGGAGCGAAAGCGUGGGGAGCGAACAGG
rnacentral:rRNA from 1 species